CCAGCCCCCAGGACCAUCGGAGGACAAACUUUUCAUUAUUUGAUCCCAUUCAGUCUGUGAGACUCUAUGACGACUGCCAUCAGGAAGGAGCACACUUGCUUUUAGCCAACGCUCGGCCUCGACAACCAAUCUCCACACUUUGUAAUGGCUUUACGAUGAGUAUCAUGUCUUUCCCUUCCCUCUUUCCACUGAUGGGUGGGCGACCCGAGGAUUAAAUUUUCCAAGUGGAAGAGUUCUAACGUGAUACAACGGUUCUCCAGAAUCUCUGAAUCAUCUUCCCUUCCCUGAAGCAUUACAAAUAUUUGAAGGAGAAUCAUCGUAAUCAUAAUCAUAAUAAUAAAAAAAAAAAGGCUGAGAAGGGCAUUGGCUAACUGCAAAUACCCCUUACUUCAAUUUUCUUAUAAUGUCUAUACUUUGGCUUACAAUACAGAGUGAACUGAUCCUACAGUGAACCCAACUUUGUCAAACUUGUGUUUCUACAAGUCUCCCGCUUUACUUAUGGAAUAUAAAGUAGUGAUAAAGACAAUAACAGAUUUAUUGAAGACUGCCAUGGAUUUUUCCAUGAUCGCAUGGAACAGUAGAGUAUCGUCUGUAUUCAUUUUGAAUAUAUAUAUAUGGAAAUCGUCGACACCACGUUAUUUCAAACAUAUGUGUCCCCGUUUCCUCCAAUGCAUCUUGGUGUAUAGAACCAAGGCUGGUGGAGAGGUGGCUUUUCUUCUCCUCCUCUGGGGUUUGUCACCAUGUGUCCUUGAGAGGCAACGAGGAAGAAAUGGAUUAAUUAAUACCGUAGGGAAGUUCUCUUUCCUAUUCAGUAAACCGCAUAGUAUCCUGGAGAAAUGCAUCUUUACAGGCAAGAGAGUUUCCAAUUAAAAUGAAACUUUUGUGACACAGAAAAGUGAAAUAGAAAUGACAAAGCAUACGCAAGUUUUAUUUACAAUAUGUAUGGCUUAACACCAUUUACGCUGAGUCUCUACGAAUUGACUACCAUUUGGGGUAAAAUUAACAGCAUUGGAUUUGCAACAGAAAAAGAAAGAUGUGGUUUGUUACAUUUUUUUGUAGGAGUGCAAUACAUGACAGAAAUAUGAAUACAGACACUAAUGAGCAAGUGAUAGAUAUAUUUCAUUAUUACCAUACGUGUCUAUUUUAUAAAAUAUGAUGUGCUCUCGGUUCACAAAUGGCAAAUACACAUAAAACAAUCCUAAAGACUAAAUAAUGCAACUGGCUCAAAUUGAUCUAUGUGACUGUCCUAGAAUUCCAUUAAAGAAAGAUUAAGGGAUUUUUCCAUGAAAGGUAUAAAAUAAGAAAUGAAAGUCUGAACGAUUUCAGGAAAAAAAAAUCAAGCCUUCGUACAAAGACAUGAUUCUGAAUGAAAUAUGAAUGAAAUGCAUCAGUUUGGAUCUUCUCAAUAAAUAGCUUGGGAAGGCAAGAUAAACUCAACCUUUUACUGAGAAACGAUAAGGUUAUGGAAGGGAAAACCUCCUGUCUAGUAUUCAUAGACUCAAUCUGACUCAUUUUCCAUGGUUUCACUGAAAUAAUUAAAAAGAAAAUCAGAAGAAGGAGGUAUCUAGAGACUUCCUUUCAUCACAUCCAUGCAUUUAAAGUGAAGAUUUCCAAUUUAAAAGAAAAACAACAACAACGACAACAGAGGGAAGACCCAAAGAUCCACGUGAAUACAGUUCUUUGGAUGUAUACAUUUCAGAUGACGGGAAGUUGUCUCCAAUGGAGCUCAUUAUGGGAGGAAUAGAUGAGAAAAAUAAAGUGAGCUCUUUCCCCUUCACAUUUUUA